CGCGUUCGGGCUCUCUAAGGCCUGCUCGCCAUCUCAUCUCAUUUUUCAAUUUGUGUAUGGGUGUUGUCGUCGAACACGCAGGCGAUUUUUAUUGUUCCGUCAAUUGAGGACCUAUAGCUCCUUCGGGACUGAGUAGUGCGUUAAAAAUGACCCUUAUUAGGUGGAAGUUCCCCGCCGUAGGGCUAAGCCAGAUGUUUGAUCCUAGCGGUGUCGUCUACGAAUGUGCCACAAGCAGAGGCAAGCUAAACGGGCCAGAGGGAGCCACUAAUCCAGAUGGAAGCCGAUGGACGGAUACCUAGUCUACCUAGGGUAAAACACCGCUGUCCGGCCACCUGUAUGGUAGCGCGGCCACUUUCCCAAAAAAUAACUUUAGCACUGCCAGUAAGCUAAGUUAGAGGUCGGUCACAAGCCAACCUCCGUGGAAGCAACGCCUCGAGACACCUACUUUCCACUCGAAGUGGAAAUCAGCGGGAGUUGGCAAGAGCUAAGAAUGCAAAAAAGCAACAGGACUCUAAAAAAGGACAGUCAUCAUCUCAAAAAGU